UAUUUUGUAUUAAAUUGAUAUGCGCGCAAAAAUUAAUCUUUCUUUAUGUUACAUUCUAUUUCUCAAUGUAGAUGUAACGUAGAUGGAGAUGAUGCAACAUGCAACAUUGCUUUCCGUUUUAACAGUUAUCAGCCAUAUUUUUCCUGGAUCUUAUAUCUGCAGCCAAUAAUAAGAGAAAUGCGCAGUUAUUUUAUCAACUCAUUAUUUCCAGAUCGAUAUCAUCCGAGAUCCACGCGUAAUUAGUAAUUAUCAUAUAAUUGCGUUUACGUCAAGACGGACGAAUCAUCCAAACGGCAAUGCAACGAGCACGUUCAAUAUCCGGAAAAUAAAUGUUUCAUGAGAAUGUUAUUCCUGUAAUUUGCUUGAAAUUAUAUUCGUGCGAAUAUUCUGAAGUCUUUUACGUAACCGUUCCUCUUUCAGAAUCUUUGAGGAUAAAAUUGCCGUGAUAGAGGUGAGGAAAAUCAUCCGUUUGAACAUCGUAGCUCUGAUAAAGAAACGCUGAUAAAGAAGAUAAAGCUUAUCUGUCGGCUAACAAGAGUAAACAAGAAAACAGACUCAGAUGAAUCUGCAAGGACUAAUUCCUAUAUUUCACUUGGAUGCCAUGAAGUUUGAUCGAUUAUUAAUUCAAUGAAUUGCACCUCUAUUAAAUUCCAUCAUUUAUCAUUUAACAAUUGGAUCAAUGUGAACAAAUGUGAGUUGAGCAUAUCAAAAUUUUCAAAACUAGAAAUUUAUAGGCCAAAUCUUUGGAUAUUUCUUUACAAUCCCGGAUACAAUCUCCAGCUGAUUUUUCUAUAUUAUGAUGAUCUUUUCUUUACUGAAAAGAAGAUUUUCAUAUUUUCAUAUUUUCAUAUUGAUAAUAUUUUUCUUGGAGAGAGAGCAAUAUGAAACGCUUACAUUAGCGCUUAUAUCAGAGGAAAAAUCCUCUCAAACUUCCUUGGACGUCCUAAAAAAAGAAAACGGAUAACAAUCCUAGACCAAUCCUAGAUAUUAGAAAAAAUAAAUAUACACGGUAUCUUUCUGCCUCAGUCUUUGUCUAGAAAUCUGGCCUGUUCUUUUUAGCUGAAUUUCUCUGUCGAUAUUGGAGAAAAAAGAAGAAAAAAUGUAUGGUGAAAGUUUAGGUGCAAAAGAAUAGAUUUACUAUUUUAAGAAAUGC